GAUCCUCCCACCCUUUGUAUACCUACCUCUGUUGCUUUGGCGGGCCGCGGUCUUCCGCGGCCGCCCCCCGAUUUUGGGGGGUGGCUAGUGCCCGCCAGAGGACUAUCAAACUCCAGUCAGUAAACGUUGCAGUCUGAAAAAAAUAUUAAAUAAACUAAAACUUUCAACAACGGAUCUCUUGGUUCUGGCAUCGAUGAAGAACGCAGCGAAAUGCGAUAAGUAAUGUGAAUUGCAGAAUUCAGUGAAUCAUCGAAUCUUUGAACGCACAUUGCGCCCCUUGGUAUUCCGGGGGGCAUGCCUGUUCGAGCGUCAUUUCAACCCUCAAGCUCUGCUUGGUAUUGGGCACCGUCCUUUGCGGGCGCGCCUCAAAGACCUCGGCGGUGGCGUCUUGCCUCAAGCGUAGUAGAAUACACCUCGCUUCGGAGCGUAAGGCGUCGCCCGCCGGACGAACCUUCUGAACUUUUCUCAAGGUGACCUCGGAUCAGGUAGGGAUACCCGCUGAACUUAAGCAUAUCAAUAA
rnacentral:rRNA from 1 species